rnacentral:lncRNA from 1 species
AGAUAAGCUACAGCAAGUCGUUACUUGUCCUGAAUGCACAACCUUCUUUCUUUGAGCAAGAGGACAAACCUGGGUAGGGAUCUCUAUGAUCUUUUCUGUGUUGCCUGUGGACGUUCAUCUUUCUGAUUUGUUAGCUGAAGAUGAGGAUCUGGAGCAGGAGUUUGGAGUGCCAUUGUUCCAUGGGCAGAAGUUCGGCAGAGAUUAUGGUCACAGCCUCUUGGUCUAGUAGAAAAGUCUACCCGAAGCCUCUGAGAGGCCCAACAUAAUCAGGGACCACAGGAAACAGUACAGCAGUAACAAUGAGAAGGGGAUGGAGUGCUGUGGGACUCAGCAAGUGAAAGUGAAGAAACUUCAGGUCCUGGAAUGUGGAAUCCAGGUGAGCCACAGGCUUGAAGUCGGAGUUCCAGGGCUAGACCGACUAAGAACUGGAGAGGCUGGG